rnacentral:rRNA from 1 species
CCACCAGACUCCUACGGGAGGCAGCAGUGAGGAAUAUUGGUCAAUGGGCGGAAGCCUGAACCAGCCAAGUCGCGUGAGGGAAUAAGGCCCUACGGGUCGUAAACCUCUUUUGCCGGGGAGCAAGGGCGGGGACGUGUCCCGGCCCGGAGAGUACCCGGAGAAAAAGCAUCGGCUAACUCCGUGCCAGCAGCCGCGGUAAUACGGAGGAUGCGAGCGUUAUCCGGAUUUAUUGGGUUUAAAGGGUGCGUAGGCGGGCUUUUAAGUCAGCGGUAAAAAUUCGGGGCUCAACCCCGUCCGGCCGUUGAAACUGGCUGUCUUGAGAUGUCGAGAGGUAUGCGGAAUGCGCAGUGUAGCGGUGAAAUGCUUAGAUAUUGCGCAGAACUCCGAUUGCGAAGGCAGCAUACCGGCGGCGAUCUGACGCUGAGGCACGAAAGCGUGGGUAUCGAACAGGAUUAGAUACCCCAGUA